UGGGGAAUUGUUCGCAAUGGGCGCAAGCCUGACGACGCAACGCCGCGUGGAGGAUGAAGAUUUUCGGAUCGUAAACUCCUGUCGAAUGGGACGAAUAGAUUGCGGGUGAACAGCCCGUGGUCCUGACGGUACCGUUAAAGGAAACCCCGGCUAACUCCGUGCCAGCAGCCGCGGUAAUACGUAGGGUGCGAGCGUUAAUCGGAAUUACUGGGCGUAAAGUGUGCGCAGGCGGCGUCGCAAGUCGAGUGUGAAAGCCCCGGGCUUAACUUGGGAAUUGCGCUCGAAACUACGAUGCUGGAGUGUGGCAGAGGAAGGUGGAAUUCCACGUGUAGCGGUGAAAUGCGUAGAGAUGUGGAGGAACACCAAUGGCGAAGGCAGCCUUCUGGGCCAACACUGACGCUCAUGCACGAAAGCGUGGGGAGCAAA
rnacentral:rRNA from 1 species